rnacentral:lncRNA from 1 species
UGUAUUAAUUGCCUAUUAUCUUAAAUAAAAAAAUAAAUAAAUGUCAAUAAUUAUGUUCAGAAUACCAAUUUCCAUUUUUUUUAUAAUGCAAACAAUAAUUUAUAGAACAACAACAAAAAUUUUCAAUUUCAUAGUAUUUCAAUAUCCAAAUAAUUUCUCAGCAAAACAUUAUCAAAAAUUUUCUUUCUUGCCAUGAAAUAACAACUUAUAUUCUCCAAAGAUGUGCAAAACAUGUCAAGAUACAUAUGAUCACUAACAGUAUCUUCAAAAAAGAAUGAUCCAAUUAAACCCCUAAAUGGCAAUCUACACUAAUCAUUGAACCCUGAUAAAUUGCAUGUUCACGAAUAACCCCUGCUUUGUUCAUAUGAAUGUGCAGAUUUUUCUAGAGCCCAUUAUACAAUUAUGAUGAUUCACUGUAUCAUUCAGCUUAAAUUGUUCAUUAGACGAAACAAUUUCCCAUCAGAUUCCUCAUCCUCAUGUACCCAUGUAUUGAAAUCAUUUACAAUACUGCUUUCUUCAAUCAGGAUUGCCUUAAUUCAUUGCAUAUAAUAAUCUUGGGAUGUAAACUUUCUCUUUCUCUUAAGAAUGCACUAUAAGCUUAAUUUGCUAACUCCUGUCUUAUGUGCACAUUGUUUGACAUACUUUUGUGGUGUGUAUGCAAAUUGUUCAAUACCCUUGCCAAGAAAGUCAGGACUUAUUGUUGUGCAAAGCCUCUCAGAAUUUUCCUCAUGCACACCAUACACAAUACCAUAGGUUUCAAGCUUAUUAUGAAUGCAUACAUUUGUUGCAUGGUAUUGAAAGUUCUGUUACAAACCCACUCUUCUAUUGUCAUUGUACUUCACAUACAUUCUCAAAUUUAAAAUAUCAUUUUAAAAUGGUCUUCCAUUUCUCAAACAAAAAAACUAUGCUUCCACCAGUUUGUUUGACUGUCUUGUCAGCCACAUGUUGACUAUAGUAUUCAUGUGAUUAUUGCCCUCUUUUGAGGGAACAUCAUUGAAUUACAGUAACAAUGUGAUUAAUCACAUUACUAUUGUAAUUCAAUUCAACUUCAAAAAAGUCCAUAGAUAAUAUCUAUUAAAUUAUGUAUACAUUUUUGGGCCCUUCUG